rnacentral:rRNA from 1 species
UACGUAGGGUGCAAGCGUUAAUCGGAAUUACUGGGCGUAAAGAGCGCGCAGGCGGUCGUUCAAGUCGAGUGUGAAAGCCCCCGGCUCAACUGGGGAGGGUCACUCGAUACUGAUCGACUCGAAGGCAGGAGAGGGUAGUGGAAUUCCCGGUGUAGUGGUGAAAUGCGUAGAUAUCGGGAGGAACACCAGUGGCGAAGGCGACUACCUGGCCUGUUCUUGACGCUGAGGCGCGAAAGCUAGGGGAGCAAACGGG